UGAAUGUAAGCAGACUUCCGAGAAAAUCUUCUAAGCAUAUUGAUACGGUACCCGUACCGCAUACCGACACAGGUAGUCAAGGAGAGAAUCCUGAGGUGCUCGAGUGAGUCAUGGCUAAGGAACUAGGCAAAUUAAACCUGUAACUUCGGGAAAAGGGUUCCUCUCUUUAGCAAUAAAGAAGGUCGCAGAGAAAUGGCCCAGGCGACUGUUUAACAAAAACACAUGGCUAUGCGAAAUCGUAAGAUGAAGUAUAUGGCCUGACACCUGCCCGGUGCUGGAAGGUUAAGGGGGGAAGUUAGUCGCAAGGCGAAGCUUUGAACUGAAGCCCCAGUAAACGGCGGCCGUAACUAUAACGGUCCUAAGGUAGCGAAAUUCCUUGUCGGGUAAGUUCCGACCUGCACGAAUGGUGUAACGAUCUGGGCACUGUCUCAGCCAUGAGCUCGGUGAAAUUGUAGUCACGGAGAAGAUGCCGUGUACCCGUCACGGGACGGAAAGACCCCAUGCACCUUUACUAUAGCUUCGCAUUGACAUUGGGUAGAUGAUGUGUAGGAUAGGUGGGAGGCGUUGAUCCUGUGCCGCUAGGUAUAGGGGAGCCAACGGUGAAAUACCACCCUUUAUUUAUCUGAUGUCUAAUCCGCAAGACCUGCGGAGACAGUGCGUGGUGGGUAGUUUGACUGGUGGUCGCCUCCGAAAGUGUAUCGGAGGCUUUCAAAGGUAUGCUCAAUACGCUUGGUAACCGUAUGUGGAGUGCAAUAGCAUAAGCAUGCUUGACUGUGAGACUGACAAGUCGAGCAGGGUCGAAAGACGGAUAUAGUGAUCCGGUGGUUCUGUAUGGAAGGGCCAUCGCUCAAAGGAUAAAAGGUACGCUGGGAUAACAGGCUGAUCUCCCCCAAGAGCUCACAUCGACGGGGAGGUUUGGCACCUCGAUGUCGGCUCGUCACAUCCUGGGGCUGGAGAAGGUCCCAAGGGUUAGGCUGUUCGCCUAUUAAAGUGGCACGCGAGCUGGGCUCAGAACGUCGUGAGACAGUUCGGUCCCUAUCUGUGAUGGGCGUAGGAAGUUUGAGAGGAUCUGACCUUAGUACGAGAGGACCGGGUUGGACCAACCGCUGGUGUACCGGUUGUGGCGUCAGCUGCAUCGCCGGGUAGCUACGUUGGGACGAGAUAAGCGCUGAAAGCAUCUAAGCGCGAAACUCACCUCAAGAUGAGACUUCCAUUAAGGGACGUCAGAGACUAUGACGUUGAUAGGCUGCAGGUGUAAAGGCAGAAAUGUCAAAGCUGAGCAGUACUAAUUACCCA
rnacentral:rRNA from 1 species